rnacentral:rRNA from 1 species
CGAAAGCUGUGCUAAUACCGCAUACGAUCUAUGGAUGAAAGCGGGGGACCUUCGGGCCUCGCGCGAUUGGAGCGGCCGAUGUUAGAUUAGGUAGUUGGUGGGGUAAAGGCUCACCAAGCCAACGAUCUAUAGCUGGUCUGAGAGGACGACCAGCCACACUGGAACUGAGACACGGUCCAGACUCCUACGGGAGGCAGCAGUGGGGAAUUUUGGACAAUGGGCGAAAGCCUGAUCCAGCAAUACCGCGUGCAGGAAGAAGGCCCUCGGGUUGUAAACUGCUUUUGUACGGAACGAAACGGCGCGCUCUAAUAAAGUGCGCUAAUGACGGUACCGUAAGAAUAAGCACCGGCUAACUACGUGCCAGCAGCCGCGGUAAUACGUAGGGUGCGAGCGUUAAUCGGAAUUACUGGGCGUAAAGCGUGCGCAGGCGGUUUUGUAAGACAGGCGUGAAAUCCCCGGGCUCAACCUGGGAAUUGCGCUUGUGACUGCAAGGCUAGAGUACGGUAGAGGGGGGUAGAAUUCCGCGUGUAGCAGUGAAAUGCGUAGAUAUGCGGAGGAACACCGAU